GCAGAAUUCAGUGAAUCAUCGAAUCUUUGAACGCACCUUGCGUCUCUGGUAUUCCGGAGAGCACGCCCGCUUUGUAGAUGUUCAUGGG
rnacentral:rRNA from 1 species